GACGAACGCUGGCGGCGUGCUUAACACAUGCAAGUCGAACGGUAAGGCCCUUCGGGGUACACGAGUGGCGAACGGGUGAGUAACACGCGGGUGAUCGGCCCUGCACUUCGGGAUAAGCCUGGGAAACUGGGUCUAAUACCGGAGAGGACUCGUGGCUUCAUGGGUGGGGGUGGAAAGCAUUUGCGGUGUGGGAUGGGACCGCGGCCGAGCAGCUUGGUGGUGGGGUGAUGGCGUACCAAGGUGACGACGGGUAGCCGGGCUGAGAGGGUGGCCGGUCACACUGGGACUGAGAUACGGCCCAGACUCCUACGGGAGGCAGCAGUGGGGAAUAUUGCACAAUGGGCGCAAGCCUGAUGCAGCGACGCCGCGUGAGGGAUGACGGCCUUCGGGUUGUAAACCUCUUUCAGCUAUGACGAAGCGCAAGUGACGGUAGUAGCAGAAGAAGGACCGGCCAACUACGUGCCAGCAGCCGCGGUAAGAC
rnacentral:rRNA from 1 species